UACGUAGGGUGCGAGCGUUAAUCGGAAUUACUGGGCGUAAAGGGUGCGCAGGUGGUUUAUCAAGCCAGAUGUGAAAUCCCCGGGCUUAACCUGGGAAUGGCAUUUGGGACUGAUAGACUAGAGUACGGCAGAGGGGGGUAGAAUUCCACGUGUAGCAGUGAAAUGCGUAGAGAUGUGGAGGAAUACCGAUGGCGAAGGCAGCCCCCUGGGUUGAUACUGACACUCAAGCACGAAAGCGUGGGUAGCAAACAGG
rnacentral:rRNA from 1 species